rnacentral:lncRNA from 1 species
CUUGUUUUCUUCUCUUGUUCGCAAGACGAUGUCUAGAGUAACUAUCCUCUCUUUGUAAAAUAUUCAAAAUACCAGCUUUUUCUUUGUAAAGUGUUUGGAGCACCGACUUUUUCUUUGUAAAGACUUUAAUGAAUAAAAAAGAAUGCUUUAUUUUGAAAGUCUUUACUUUGAUUCUAACUUUAAAUUUGUAUGUGUGAAUUUUUUGAAUUUUGCUUAGCUCAUAGAAAAUAGCACAAGUAGAUGCUC